rnacentral:rRNA from 1 species
UACGGGGGGAGCAAGCGUUGUUCGGAUUUACUGGGCGUAAAGGGCGCGUAGGCGGUCAGCACAAGUCAGUUGUGAAAUCUCCGGGCUUAACUCGGAAAGGUCAACUGAUACUGUGCGACUAGAGUGCGGAAGGGGCAACUGGAAUUCUCGGUGUAGCGGUGAAAUGCGUAGAUAUCGGGAAGAACACCGAUGGCGAAGGCAGCCCCCUGGGCUAACACUGACGCUCAGGCACGAAAGCGUGGGGAGCAAACAGG